UACGUAGGGGGCUAGCGUUGUCCGGAAUCAUUGGGCGUAAAGCGCGUGUAGGCGGUUCGGUAAGUCCGCUGUGAAAGUCGGGGGCUCAACCCUCGGAAGCCGGUGGAUACUGUCGAGCUAGAGUACGGAAGAGGCGAGUGGAAUUCCUGGUGUAGCGGUGAAAUGCGCAGAUAUCAGGAGGAACACCAGUGGCGAAGGCGGUGCUCUGGGCCGGAACUGACGCUGAGGAGCGAAAGCGUGGGGAGCAAACAGG
rnacentral:rRNA from 1 species